rnacentral:rRNA from 1 species
GACGAACGCUGGCGGCGUGCUUAACACAUGCAAGUCGAACGGAAAGGCCCUGCUUUUGUGGGGUGCUCGAGAGGCGAACGGGUGAGUAACACGUGAGUAUCCUGCCCUUGACUUUGGGAUAACUUCAGGAAACUGGGGCUAAUAUCGGAUAGGAGCUCCUGCUGCACGGGGGGGGUUGGAAAGUUUCGGCGGUUGGGGAUGGACUCGCGGCUUAUCAGCUUGUUGGGGGGGUAGUGGCUUACCAAGGCUUUGACGGGUAGCCGGCCUGAGAGGGUGACCGGCCACAUGGGGACUAAGAUACGGCCCAGACUCCUACGGGAGGCAGCAGUGGGGAAUAUUGCAGAAUGGGCGGAAGCCAGAUGCAGCAACGCCGCGUGCGGGAUGACGGCCUUCGGGUUGUAAACCGCUGUCGCCUGUGACGAAGCGUGAGUGACGGUAAUGAGUAAAGAAGCACCGGCUAACUACGUG